rnacentral:rRNA from 1 species
UACGUAGGGACCAAGCGUUGUUCGGAUUUACUGGGCGGAAAGGGCGCGUAGGCGGCGCGGUAAGUCACUUGUGAAAUCUCUGAGCUUAACUCAGAACGGCCAAGUGAUACUGCAGUGCUAGAGUGUGGAAGGGGCAAUCGGAAUUCUUGGUGUAGCGGUGAAAUGCGUAGAUAUCAAGAGGAACACCUGAGGUGAAGACGGGUUGCUGGGCCAACACUGACGCUGAGGCGCGAAAGCCAGGGGAGCAAACGGG